ACUUGUAAACCUAGCCUCAUUCUUAUACCCUAACAUAAUAAACCAAACCAUUUACUUAUGACAGUAUGGGCGACAGAAAACUUAUUAGCGCAAUAUAACUAGUACUAUAAAGGAAAAAUGAAAUAGAAAUCAAAUAAUUAUUAAAACACGAUAAAGCAAGAAAUAUUACCUUUACCUUUUGCAUAAUGGUCUAGCAAGUCCAACCUUACAAAAAGAACUUAGUAAGACAUCCCGAAACCAAACGAGCUACCUUAAGGCAUACUUAACCCGUCUCUGUAGCAAAAGAGUGGAGAGACCUCAUGGUAGAGGCAAAAAACCUAACGAGCUUGGAUAUAGCUGGUUGCUUGAAAAAGAAUUUAAGUUCACACAAAAGCAUAUCUACCACCACGGAAAUUUUAACCUUUUAUAUUAAUUAACUGAGUUACAGCCCAGUUAACAAGGGAGACAGCCCACAUUAACGAACACACUCUUUAAGAAACUGAGCCUCGUAGGCCUAAAAGCAGCCACCAAACAAUAGCGUCAAAGCUUAACUUAAUAAUAUUCAACUAUUUCAUUAAAUAUAUAUAAUUCAAAUAAACAAUCAAGCUAAUCUAUUUUUAGAUGAACUAAUACUAGAAUUAGUAAUAAGAAUUUAUUCUCUAUAAUACAAGUGUAAAUCAGAACGAACCAAUCACUGAUAAUUAAUGUAAAUAUUUAUCAAAACAAGUAUUUAAUAAUCAAAAACAUUAACCCAACACAGGAGUAUUUUAAAAAGAUUUAAAGUCUAGAAAGGAACUCGGCAAACCCAGACCUCGCCUGUUUACCAAAAACAUCGCCUUUUGUAAUAUUCACAUAAAAGGUCCUGCCUGCCCAAUGACUUAUUUUAAUGGCCGCGGUAUUAUGACCGUGCAAAGGUAGCGUAAUCAUUUGUCUCCUAAAUAGAGACCAGUAUGAAUGGCAAGACGAAGGCCUUACUGUCUCCCUAGACUAAUCAAUGAAAUUGAUCUCCCCGUGCAGAAGCGGGGAUAAAAGUAUAAGACGAGAAGACCCUGUGGAGCUUCAAACUCUAAUGCUAACUAAAUAUAAAUAUUAUAGCACUAAGCUUUAGGUUGGGGCGACCAUGAGGUAUAACUUAACCCUCACGUAAUAACAAGAAGGACACUUCAAACAACUAACACAGCACUUGACCCAAUAAUUGAUCAACGGACUAAGUUACCCCAGGGAUAACAGCGCAAUCUACUCAAAGAGUCCCUAUCGACGAGCAGGUUUACGACCUCGAUGUUGGAUCAGGACCCCCAAAUAAUGCAACAGCUAUUAAAGGUUCGUUUGUUCAACGAUUAAAGUCCUACGUGAUCUGAGUUCAGACCGGAGCAAUCCAGGUCAGUUUCUAUCUAUAACCAAAUUUCUCCAGUACGAAAGGACCGAAAAAUUCAAGCCAAUAAACAACUUAAGCCUCACACCAACCUCUGAAUACAAAUAAAGAGGGUACGAAGAACAAAUAU
rnacentral:rRNA from 1 species